rnacentral:rRNA from 1 species
UGGGGAAUUUUGCACAAUGGGGGAAACCCUGAUGCAGCGACGCCGCGUGAUUUAGAAGGCCUUCGGGUUGUAAAAAUCUUUUCUAUGGGAAGAAAAUGACAGUACCAUAGGAAUAAGGACCGGCUAAUUACGUGCCAGCAGCCGCGGUAAUACGUAAGGUCCGAGCGUUGUCCGGAAUCAUUGGGCGUAAAGGGUACGUAUGCGGGUAAGCAAGUUAGAAGUGAAAUCCUAUAGCUCAACUAUAGUAAGCUUUUAAAACUGCUCAUCUUGAGGUAUGGAAGGGAAAGUGGAAUUCCUAGUGUAGCGGUGAAAUGCGCAGAUAUUAGGAGGAAUACCGGUGGCGAAGGCGACUUUCUGGCCAUAACCUGACGCUGAGGUACGAAAGCGUGGGUAGCAAACAGG